AUUGAACGCUAGCGGGAUGCUUUACACAUGCAAGUCGAACGAGUGGCGGACGGGUGAGUAAUAUAUCGGAACGUGCCCAGUAGCGGGGGAUAACUACUCGAAAGAGUGUCUAAUACCGCAUCCUAUGUGAUCCGCCGAUAUGGGAUUAGCUAGUUGGUGGGGUAAAGGCUCACCAAGGCCACGAUCCGUAGCUGGUUUGAGAGGACGACCAGCCACACUGGGACUGAGACACGGCCCAGACUCCUACGGGAGGCAGCAGUGGGGAAUUUUGGACAAUGGGCGAAACCCUGAUCCAGCCAUCCCGCGUGUAUGAGAAGGCCUUCGGGUUGUAAAGUACUUUUGGCAGAGAAGCGGUACCUGCAGAAUAAGCACCGGCUAACUACGUGCCAGCCGCCGCGGUAAUUC
rnacentral:rRNA from 1 species